CUCAGGAUUUGUUAAAAGCAAGCUUCAAAGAAAGUUAAAAUUCUAACCAAGACAAGUCUUCUAUGCCGAGUUAUGUGCCAUGGUUAAGAAGGAAUGGGACUCUGACACUUGGAAUGGGGGACAUCUGGAUUGAUGUCCCUAAAAAUCUUAUAUCCCCAGAUUCCCCUGAGCCCCUUGAGAAGUGUCCUACUCCUCCCUAUUAAGGGCUGGCACUCCAUCUUGCUUCAAUAUAUGGAAUCCUUUCCCCUGUAAGAUAACCUGGGUUUUCCUCAGAAUCUGCCCGCACCUCCUAUCCUGGCCACUGGGCCUAUAACUAGGGUUAAGCCACGCAUAAUCUAGCUGGUGAUGUGCUGGGUGUAAUAAGGAAAGAAAGAGAAUACACCAACAAAGAGUUUCGGGACAUAACCUAGCCAGCAUAUACUAGAAGGUGCUGAGGGAGUAAGUAUGGCAUCAAAUUCUAAGGAGCUUGAUCAGGAGGGCUGGAAUAUAAACUGGAAUAUGGGAGAAUUAAUCAAUUUGAAAGUGCUUUCCCAGAAUACAGGAUUUAAUACCCUGGAGAAAACCACAGGAAAUGACACGAACUCAUUACUGCGAUGGCUCCUCGAAGUAUGGAAAAAGCCAUGGCGUACAUAAAGUGAGGUGUAAAUGCCAGAGUUGCCAUAGAAGAUGGCGGGAAAAGGGAUCAAAGACUCAGAGAGACAUAAAGGAGAAGAUUUGGGAGAGGGAGAGGAUUAAUCCUGAUUUGAACUCUUCGAAUUUGAAGUGCUUAUGUACUAUGAUUUGAAUAUGGUUUAUCCCCAUCCAAAGUCAUGUUGAGGAUGGGUUCCCAAUGUGACAGUGUUGGGAGGUGGUACCCUUAAGAGGCAUUUGUGUCAUGGGGAAUCUCUCCUGAUGAGGGUAUGAAUGCAGUCUCUUUGGAGUGGGAGAGUUCUUGUGCUCAUGGGACUGGAUUAGUUACUGUGAGGAGGUUGGUUGUUAUAAAGUGAGUCUGCCUCUUGUGCUUGGUGUCUUUUGCGUGUACCUGUUUCCCCUUUUGUUUCUUUGCCAUGUUUUGAUGCCCUCAAAAGAAGUUGUCGGAUGUGACUGCCCAGUCUUGAACUUCCCAGCCCUCAAAACUGUGAGUUAAAUAAAA
rnacentral:lncRNA from 1 species